AUUGAACGCUGGCGGCAGGCUUAACACAUGCAAGUCGAGCGGGGUGAUGGUGCUUGCACUAUCACUUAGCGGCGGACGGGUGAGUAAUGCUUAGGAAUCUGCCUAUUAGUGGGGGACAACAUCUCGAAAGGGAUGCUAAUACCGCAUACGUCCUACGGGAGAAAGCAGGGGAUCACUUGUGACCUUGCGCUAAUAGAUGAGCCUAAGUCGGAUUAGCUAGUUGGUGGGGUAAAGGCCUACCAAGGCGACGAUCUGUAGCGGGUCUGAGAGGAUGAUCCGCCACACUGGGACUGAGACACGGCCCAGACUCCUACGGGAGGCAGCAGUGGGGAAUAUUGGACAAUGGGGGGAACCCUGAUCCAGCCAUGCCGCGUGUGUGAAGAAGGCCUUAUGGUUGUAAAGCACUUUUAGCGAGGAGGAGGCUCUUUUGGUUAAUACCCAAGAUGAGUGGACGUUACUCGCAGAAUAAGCACCGGCUAACUCUGUGCCAGCCGCCGCGGUAACAC
rnacentral:rRNA from 1 species